GCCGGGCAUGGUGGUGCAUGCCUGUAAUCCCAGCUACUUGGGAGGCUGAGGCAGGAGAAUUGCUUGAACCCAGGAGUUGGAGGAUGCAGUGAGCUGCGAUUGCACCACUGCACUCCAGCCUGGGCAAUAGAAUGAGACUUUGUCUCGA
rnacentral:SRP_RNA from 1 species